rnacentral:lncRNA from 1 species
UUUUAGUAUUCAGAGAAUGACCUGAACUUAGCUGUGUUAAGUUGCCUGCUCCACAGGAAACCACCUCUGUAACUGUUGCUUGCUGCUUUCUCUUUAGGCAACACCCAAAGCCACUGUCAGAUGUCAUGGAGAUGAGACCUCACAAGCCUACUCAACGUGAAGAUGAUGAGAAUGAAGACCUUUAUGAUGAUCUGCUUCCACUUAAAGAAUAGCCCAUCAUGAUCUGAAGGCAGCGGUGGUUGCUGGUGGAGGAUGUGAGCUUUGGAACUGGAGCUCUUUGAUUCAAAGCUCUGCCGCUUACUCACUGGAUAAGACCAUGAUCAAGUUAUUUCAUCUGAAAAAUUGAGUUGACUGCAGGUAACUGAAACUGCGGAAAGUGAAACUGCAGAUAAGAGGGACCACUGUAAAUAAGUGACAUGAAUGAUACUGCAAAGGACCAUAGCCUAACCAGCCAAGCAAACUGGAAGUACCUUUAGACUCACGCUUUGCCAAGCUCAGUUCCAGAAUCACAUGAUGAAAAGAAUGAUGGAAAGAAAAUGUUUGUGAUAUUAAAAUUAAGGAAAUUACUCCAACUCAGAGUUUCAUCCUAAACUGAGAGACCAACAUCAAAAGAAUCUUCUCAAGUUUCUGAGUGACGGCAAGAAACUAGACUACUGUUACCAAGGAACUUUUUAAAGCAAACUGCUUUUGCUGAUAUGAGGAGAAAGUUAAUUAAUAAGAAAAUACCUUAAAUGUGUUUUGAAGCUGUUAAAGGUGUGUAACAAUUACUCUGAAUUUAUUAUAGCACCAGUUAGAGACCCAGGAAAACUAUAAAAUUGCACAUCAGGGCAGAGCUGAGAGACGACAUCUGCUUUGGGAUUGAAAAAAAAAAAAAAAAAAAAAAAAACAGAAAGGGAACAAGAGAAAUAGCAAGUCAUUUAACAUUUGGAAUUCAGGACUCCAGACUCAUCUAUAGGACCAAACUGCUCUUGAAAUAUACUAGAUUUCCUUUAGCUCCAGAGGUUUUGCCUUCAUCAAAUGCCUGUAACACUCUUAUUGUCAAAAGGAAUAAGUGAUGGUGAACACUGUGCCAGAUAGGAGGUACCACACACAGGUUCAGCAAAAAGCAGAAGCAAGAGGUAUAUUUUUUGUUAGAUCUUAGUUCAUCCCUAUGUAACAGACAUUUCAGGGAAGGGAGGAGAAAAUAACAAAGCUACCUAUGAGCAAAGGUAAAUGGGAUUCCCUAUCCUUGUUUCCCAGUUUCGGUCAUGGUAUUGCUUAUCCAUUAUUAGUUAUCCACUGCUGGGUAACAAAUUACUCCCAAACUUAGCAGCUUCAAACAACAAUAAACAUGUAUUAUGUCACAUAGUUUGUUUCAGAACUUUGGGAGUGGCUUAGCUGAAUGGUUGUAGCUCCAGGUGCUUUUUGUGGUUGCAGUCAAGAAGUCAGCCCAUUCACACAGCUGCAGACAAAAGGACUCGGUUCCUUGCAGGCUGAGGCCUGAUUAGGCAGGGGGCCUGAGUGUCUCGCCACAUGGACCUCUCCAUAGGGCUGCUUUUCGUGGCAUGGCAGCUGACUCCCCUCAGAACAGAUGAUCAAAAGCAGCAAAAGAGAAGCCUCACAUGACUUUUGCCCUAGCCUUGGGAAUCACACUCUUCCAUUUCUACAAAAUCCUAUUGGUUACAUAGCAGCCCUAUCCAGUGUGGGAGGGAACUGUAUACAGGCAUGAAUACCAGGAGUGGAAAACCACUAGAGACUGGCUACCAUGGUCACUUACACAC